GUCGCGCACACCAGCCGCCGCGUCGCAAGGCUGUCAUGCCAUCAGUCCAUCCGUCGGAUAUCAGGUGCCGCCGAGCGGUGAGAGGCACUCGAGAAUCCACCGAGCAGUCGCUGCCGUCGGGGUCUCACUUCGGUCGGUGUCAUUCUCCAGCCAUAUCGGCUGCACUGUCAAUUUCGUUGGACUGCCGUGGACUUCUCGGCUUAGGUUGACUUGGAAAAAUUUGCAAGGAAUCUUCCUCUUCACCUUAUCGCAGCGAUUAUGGUUUGGGAAAAGGAAAAAUCCACGUUCAAGUAUUUGCUAUGUGGAAUUCUUCUGUUGCAUUCCAUGUGUGAUCUUGCCUCCCGGGUGCCCAAAAUUGAACAGAUUGCAGUCUACAAUUGUUGACGGUCAUUGUUUCUUCACAGUACCAAGAGGUUGCUCUAGCAUUGACUGCAUAUUACAAGGUAGCAAUCCAGGAUUUGGUGUACAUAUGCAAAGAGGCAGCAUUUGCUGCGGUUUGUGUAGAUGUCAAGUAUCUGCGGACCAACGAUUCAUCUAGAAGUGUAUCCCCUACUACUGAAGAGACCUUGAAUCACCUCGGCUGCAGUGUGAUUCUUCUCUUCAAUUUCUACAGUCUCUGUGUCAGCAAAAGUUAUUUCGGGAAUGCAUUGUUAACAAACAGGUUAUUUAUAAGUCAAUUUGAGUCCCGAAUCGUUCGUGCUGCAUCAGAAGAUAAUUUAUUCCAUGAGCUUGGGAAGCGGUGGAUUGCAGGAGCAACUAGCUUCCUGUGUUGGACUCGGCCCUGAUGAAAAAAGGAGUAGCUCUACUUCUCAUCUUUGUAGUCGUCAAAAUCAUGGUCUUUGAGGAUUCUGGUAACUCUACUUCUAAUCUUUUUCAGGUGUUGUUCGAGCCCGUAUAUACUCAACUUGGGAUGCUUCCUACUUAUACAUGAGUGCCUAGCUGCUAUUUAUUUUCAUUCAUGCCUGAUAUGUUGAUUUUUAUAGAGAAUUUAAAUGUUAAUUGACAUGUUAUGAUUAAGAGUAAAUUUCCGAGAGGUUGUCUCACAACUCUCUAAUCUGUGCAUCUCCCUAGUUUUUAAUGAUUUCAUACACAUCACCAGUCGAUAAACAAAGGAUAUUAGCUUCAUAAAUAUCCAAAAAUUGCCCUAGUACUAUUCUACUUUGUAGUGAGGACGAAAAGCUUCCACGAACAGUGUUUCACCACUUGUUAUUUGUGUGUGCAUGCUAGAUUUUCUCUCUAUUGAUUGUCACUACUUUCACCACUUUUUUAUGGGUUAUUAGUGUAGACUUCGUUUCUCUCGAGGGUUGGUCUAUAAACUUCUUGUUGCUUACUAACUUCUGGAGAACUAGGUUUCCCGUGCUUCAGAUACAGUGACAAUAAUGUUCUUUGGUGCCCGAUUUCUUGAGCUAAGGAGAGAGAACUAUUCCGGUUUUGAAAAAUUAAUUCAAAAAGCCAUAGGGCCGAUCAACUGAAUGAGAGCUUUAUGAGUUGCAAUCUUGUUGAUAUUGGUGCAUAAAAAUGAUUUAGGCAAUAGGACUAAAAGCCUCAUAUCCAAAUUAUCACAUGCCUAACCCUACAUAAACCACUAGUGAGCCGGUUUGAGCCCCAAAAGCCUAUUUUCUUUGUUGAAAAUUUUGAAGUCACUAUAUUAGCCUACUUAUUAUAUCCGUUUGUUGGCCUAUAUUUUCUACCCUAGUCACUAAAAUUAAAGUGCUAGCACAUUAUUGGGAGGGUAUUUAUGGUGGCAAGGAAAAGAUGGAAGUCAUGGAACAUUCAUUAGGUGGUAUUCAUUUAUAUUGAGAUACAAAUGAAAAAACUCUCUCUUCAAACAAAAGUAAAAUAAAAAGGCAGCCUUUAAUGUGUAAAAAAAAGCCAAGGCUUGAAAAAAUAAAAAAUAAAAAGGCAGCCUUUUUACGUGUAAAAAAAGCCAGGGCUAGAAAAAAAAUAAAAUAAAAAGGCAGCCUUUCAUGUGUAAAAUAAAAAGCCAAGGCAAGUAAAAAAAUAAAAUAAAAUGGCAGCCUUUCAUGAGUUAAAAAAGCCAAGGCCAGAAAAAAGAAUAUCGAGCGAAAAACAGAAAUAUGCUCAAAAGAAUAAGAUCACUUGGUUUAGAAGGUAGAAAAAUCUCCAGUUUGGGGUGUUGAGCUGUCAGAAUUUUGUAUUUUAGUGAGAUGGGAAGGAUGUUGUGAGGGAUGUGCUAGUAUUUUAAGAAUGGUGAUAAGCUACUUAUCCAAAUAUGAUCACACCUUUACCAAAAGCCCCGUUACAUCCAAAUGAAAAGACCUUUUGAUUUAGGCAUCAUAUUGACUUGUGAGCGAUGAAUUUUGCUUGAUUUUGGGAGAAAGAUCUUAUGUGCUUAAAAUAAAGAAUAGCUGGAAGAACUUCUCUUUAUGAAUUAGCGACGAUGGUUUGAGACUCCCAAGACAUAAAUCGAACUAACAUUGAAGCAUUGGAUGCCUAGCUCUUAGGGAAUUAGUUCGUGUACAAUUCAUGUUCUAAAAGUUUUACUCGCGAGUGAAUUCGGGCUCAACCUAAUUUCUCUAAAUGAUUCGUGUGAUUUGACGUGAGUUGAAGUAGAGGAUUAUCUAAUUUCUUGUGAAUGUGCUUAUUUAUCUAACUUGCUUGAGGGCGAGCAAGACUUAUGUUUGGGAAGUAUUUGAUGUGUGUGGGUAAUUGUUUGGGAAGUAUUUGAUGUGUGUGGGUAAUUGUUUAACUUGUUAUUACAUAAUGGAUGGAAUGGCGGGCAGUGUACUACUGCUCCGGUUCAAUUUUGACCACCUCACUAUUUAUUCCAGCGAGUUGAAGGGUAUAAAGUUGCAACCAAUAUUUGCUUCAAUAUUCAAACAUUUAUUUACUUUAGUUCGAUAUUUAGUGUGUCAUUUCAUACUAAAGCCAUCAAUGAAAAACUACUGCCAAAUCUUUAUGAUGCUCUACACUUGUUGGUACCUGAUAAAAUUGGGGUUGGACUUGCUUUGUCUAAUUCUGAAGAACACAAUAUCACCACGAUACCAGGAUGUGUGGUUAGUUAUUCUCUUCUUUGUACAUACAUUUAGACAUAAUUUUUUGUUUGUUGUAGGAAGUGGAAUACAUACAACAGUUUAUUAUUUUUAUCUCCUUGGAAUUCUUCAACUUGUUGCACUAAACCUUAACCCUUUUCUUGGCUGUAUUUAGGAAAGACUUUCUGUUUGAGUCAGAUUGCAGAGCUGCUGUGUACCAAUCCUGUUGCGUUUGAGGCUACUGAGAUAAUUCAGCAUAUUCUUGUGCUACUCUUAGUCGAUUUGAAGGCCUCUCGUUCUUGCAAAUGUUAUCUCUCGUGGAACUAAAGUGUUUUCCGUGAUAGUUCCUACUGCAUAAAUAGACUAGAAAGUACUUAGUCGAUCCGAAGGUCGAGGGUGGUAGGGGGCGACUGAGUUCUUAACUUAAAAGAUGAGGGGGAAAGGGUGGAAAACUGAAGGGGUGGAAAACUGAAGGCACAAGUCUAUUUAUUGAUGAGCUUGCUUUGUGAUCUUUUGUUUCUUGGUUGUUGCGCCUAUAUUUUUCCUACUUAUUUAAUUCAUUCUUUGCUGCAUUUUGCAGUUUUAUAAUUGAUCUGUUACACAUAUUAUAUUUUUGUUUGUUAUAAUUGAUCUGUUACAUACAUUUUAUUUUUGUUUGUUAUACUGUGCCUGACUUUUUUCUACUUUUUCUAAUCCACUUUUUGCUACCUUGCACCAUAAUUAAUUAAUACAUACAUAGCAUCCUAUUUUUCUUUGUCUCAUAUGUCCUGUACAAAUAUGUGCUAUAUAAGUGUUUCUUUGAUAUGUAAACCCCAUUGAUUGUCAAAUCUUGGAUUCUUAAUAUAUAUGUUAAAUGUUUUUAUAGGCUCUUUCCUAGUUACUUACUACACACAUUUCCUUUUUACUUUGGCAUUCGGUUUGCUGUAAUUGCAUCUAAAAAAGAAACCGUGGGCCAUGGAAGCUGGUUGGGCACUCAAUUAGUGUCAAGUAAAGAUACUUUCUAUGAGGUUAGUGUUGCCACUACUGUAGCAGAGUGACUGACCUUUCUCAUGAUUUUAAUAUUUUUGCAAUGCAGGAAUGGAAACUGCAGCUUGUUGCCACUAUGUACAAUACAUGGAAUCUAGACUACUUCGAUUUCUGUAUAUUUGGUCAAGUUCCUCAACAAUUUAAUUUAACUUAACAUCUCUUAUAUGCCAGUUCAGUAGUUUGUACAUAGUCUACUGUGUUUGAGUUUGUUUUCUUUACCUGUCCGUUUGAUGAUUAUGAUUGAUACAACAAAUUUUGGUUUACUGAGUGAACAUAAGAACAGAUUAAUAGUGUUGUAAUAUACUAUUCAACUUAACUAUGAAUUGUAAUGUUACCCCGUUCUAAAAUUUUCAGCUUGCCUGUAAUGUUUAUCCUUUGUGAAUGUUUCUGCUUCAGGAUCAGUCAAUAAGCGUCAACUUGUGACUCACCAUAUGCUGUGUAUUGCUCUACGAGCUGCUUUAGAUGCUUUAGGGAAGCUUGCAAAUUCAAGUGUUUGUUCCUUCCUAGGUUAUUGGUUAAUGUUAUUAUUGUGAAUUUCAGUCUAACCUUGGAUUUAUGACAUUCCAAUGUUUUCCUUCGGGAGAAAGGCAUUAGAGCAGUUUCUGGACCAUCUCAUUCAGUAUCACUGCUCUUUUUUGACCACCUCACUAUUUAUUCCAGCGAGUUGAAGGGUAUAAAGCUGCAACCAAUACUUGCUUCAAUAUUCAAACAUUUAUUUGUUAAACCUAACUUUAGUUCGAUAUUAAGUGUGUCAUUUCAUACUAAAGCCAUCAAUGAAGAACUUCUGCAUAAUCAGUCUGAUGCUCUACACUUGUUUGUACCUGAUAAAAUUGAAGUUGGUCUAGCUUUGUCUAAUUCUGAAGAACACGAUACCAGGAUCUGUGGUUAGUUAUUCUCUUCUUUAUACAUACAUUUAGAUAUAAUUUUUUGUUUAGUUGUAGGAAGUGGAAUACAUACAACAGUUUAUUAUUUUUAUGUCUUUGGAAUUCUUCUACGUGUUGCACUAAACAUGUAACCCUUUUCUUGUCUGUAUGCAGAAAAGAAAUUCUUUUUGAGUCAGAUUACAGAGAUUGCAGGCCCACCAUUUUCUCUGAUCGGACCCGGCAGCAUAUUGUGUGGAUUAGCAAUUCCCUCUUCGAUCUCACUACAACAGAGACCACCAAGUUCUCUAGAUGAGAGUUGACUCCUAAUUACAUGAAGCCAUCACAACACACCUACCCUUCCU